AAUGAACGUUGGCGGCGUGGAUUAGGCAUGCAAGUCGAACGCUUCAUGUAGCAAUACAUGAGGAGUGGCGUAAGGGAGAGUAAUACAUAGUUAGCUGCCCUCGGGUCUGGGAUAGCGGCGGGAAACUGCCGGUAAUACCAGAUGAUAUCUUCGGAUCAAAGGUGUGAUUCCGCCCGAGGAGGUGACUGUGUCCUAUCAGCUAGUUGGCGGGGUAACGGCCCACCAAGGCUAAGACGGGUAUGGGGCGUGAGAGCGUGCCCCCACUCACUGGGACUGAGAUACUGCCCAGACACCUACGGGUGGCUGCAGUCGAGAAUCUUCGGCAA
rnacentral:rRNA from 1 species